rnacentral:lncRNA from 1 species
AGGAACAUAAUCAAACUAACAACCAUUUGGAGAACUAAAGAUGGACUUUGAUAUGUGUUGUGAACAAAGACGAAUUAAUUCGAAAAAAAAGUAAAAGAGAGUAAAAAAUGUAUUGAGGCAAAUACUCGUUUAGUGUUUUUUUAUUAUUAUGUGAAUGAAUAAACUUACAAACCAUUAGAUCCGUAUUUAUAGCAGCCUCAAAAACUGUUUUUUUUUCUAUAUGAAUA